GGCCUUCCGAUGCUUACCACAGGCUGUGUUCUUUAUACCAACUGCAUAGAAAAAGGAGGCACAGUUAGUGCACCCCAUAUAUACCUCAGCCCAAGCUUUUUGCUUGGUCUAUAUUGUGAAUGGGGGGAACAUAA